GGUUCAGCUAAGUUACUUCCUCAUCUGAACUGUCCGUCGCAGCGAGGAGCCUUUCUUCCUCCUCUUUGAAAACCUUUCACAUGAUUAAUGAGUUUCAAAAACACUUUAACCUCAGUUUCUUCCCUUACAUUUAUACUUUUAUAACUUUUUACCGUAUGGGACGGAACGUAUUUUCUCCAGUCUACUAUGGAUGAGGAGAGGGAGGAGGGGGGUCCUACCUCUAAGACCGCUCUGUCUGGGGAACAUGGCCGCCGGAGCAAAGCUAAGAGCCCAGAGAAGCAGGAAAGAGCAGACUCCCCUGGACCCAGCUGUGACUCCAUGAAGAGUGGCUGGUCUAUGGAACAUCCUAAUAGCUUUAAAGAUGGAAAUGAGUCUGUUGAGAAAAGAGUCCAGCAGCAGAGAGCAGACCCCCCUGGACCCAGCUGUGUCUCCAUGAAGAGUGA